rnacentral:rRNA from 1 species
AACGGCCGUACCAUGCUGAAUAUACCGGUUCUCGUUAGAUCACCGAAGUUAAGCAUCAUUGGGCGCGGUCAGUACUUUGGGUGACCACCUGGGAACACUGCGUGCCGUU